rnacentral:lncRNA from 1 species
GCGCGGUCUGCCUCCCGCGGCGGGCCGGGUCUCCAGGGAGGACCUGAGUUUUCUUCACCCAUGGUCAGGGAAGCGCCAUCGCCCUGGCUUUGAGGCUGGGGCCUCCGGGGAGGUUCCGGUAGGGGCUUUGAAGAGGCCGCUGUUUUUGCAAGGCCGAGACGGCGGGCCCUGCGCAGGCCGCCCUAUUCCGCGCCCUCAGGGCGUCAGUAUCCGCCUGAGGCCGGAUACCCCCUCUGGGCCCGGAUGCCCCCGCUGGCCCCGGAGCAUCCUCGGCGCUGCCCUCCCAGAGCCCCGCAGAGGCUGAGGUGGCGCGGGGGCGGCCCCGGCUCCGCGAGAAGCGGCGGCAGCGAGGGCUGGAGGACCCGGGCUACGGGGCUCCGGGGCGUCUGGCCUGGUUGGGACUGAGCCCAUCCAGGGACUGGGACUCUGGGAUUCUGGUGUAGGUGGAUCCGGGGCAGGCUCAGGACCAAGUCCCUCUCCUUCCACCAAGGAGCGCCCAGAGGCCGGCGGGAGCUCCAGGUUCACCUCCUCCUCCUCCAGGAAAUCUCACUUCCAACUGGAUGUCUGGAUGAACUACUGAAAGCUGCUGAGUGUCCUGCAGCAGCUUGACUACCACACAAAUGAAUCCACUCAAAUGUUGGCAAGUGGAGCAGAGUCCCAGGACAGGUACAGAAACACCCCCAGUUCAAGGAUCUUCACACCUGGAUUUAGGCCUACUCCUGCAACUACCCCAGAACCUGGAAUUUAUAUGUUCAACAUGGAGCCAUCCCAGCCAUGACAACAGAGAAUGUACCACUCUCACGGGGUAAUAUCGAGUUCCAGAAGGCAAGGAUUAACAUUCAGAAAAAUAGGAAAAACAACCUGCAGUUAUUUUUAUUAAUAGAGUUACUAUGAAUUAUUAUAUUGUGGCUACUUACACCAAGAUGAAGAUAAUUUAUUAGUUCAGGAAGAACCUGCAUUCUGAAGGCAAAUGGAAGUUCCAGCUACAGAUGGGCAGACACAUGCCCCCUCAAUUCCUGAUGGACCUCCUUGUGCCUCAUGGACCUAAGGGGCCUCCCUCAAUGUUUCAAGAUGCCACCAAGGCAGGGAUCAGCUAGUGCAUUCCUGAGAACAUCCAGGAUGAAUUGAGGCUCUGGAAAAAUGCAAGAGUUUCCACAUAAUCCCAAAAAACCCUACAGGUGAACUGGAUGCCACAGAAAGAGGAGUGGUCUUUGUCACAACAAAAUCAACAAAAUUAUUUCGAAGUCAAUUAGGAAACUCAGAAAUCACUCUUGCUGCCAUUAAGAGGAAGAACAGCAGCCUGUGAAUGGCAUCCCUGGCCUUCCCGAGACUCCACAGAUAUUUCUAUGUGGCUUCAGACACCAGAAAUCUCUGUGAUUUUCAGAAAGGCAGGGACAGCUCAUGCAAGCCCAUCCCUCUGCAGAAUGUGUCCCAGCAGAUCAGUGGCAUGGAACCAUCAUGGACAGCACAGAGGCUCAAGGGCAGCAUCCCAGGUGGGCCUGUGACUCUAGAUAAGUUCUGAGUCCCCAUGGGGGAUCAGGAAAGGUUAGUGAUGACCUGGAAAGAAGGGACAGGUGGAAACCGCCCCUAAGCAAUCUGCAGGAUUCCAACUUCAGCAGGAAACCAAGGACCAGCUCGUACCACACCUGCGCCCCCUGAAAACUGGAUACAAUCCCAUUCUGCAGAAAGUUCCACGUAGAAGUGGCUGGGAAUUUUGCAUUCUAGAAUGAAUUUUACAGUGCCUCUGGACAUGUGAUGAGAAAGUUAACAUUGGUGUAUCUAAGUGACAUUUUCCACGAAGUGAUUUUUUAAGCUGUUUUAAAACAGACAAAAUAUAAUUAAAACAUAUGUAUUAUAUGUCAAAGUAUGGUUCGCUGGAAUCAAGUAGACUCACCUUGAGAUACAAUCUUGGACAACCUCCAUAUUCAGAAUAUCUACUUUUUCAAACCGAAACUCUCCAACCAAAAAUCAAUAACAUCAAAAGUUUGCAACUACAAGCCAACGGAAAAUAAAUACAUGAAUUCUACCAAAGUGAAUUGGACUGCUUUGGGAAACACAGAUGAAGAAAGUCAACACCGCUUUGUCUUUCAGUGCCUGGCUCCCUUUUCAGCUCGUCUUGCGACACCAGACAUUAUACCUGAAAAGUCUCCCGGACGCCUGUGAGGCUCUAAUUCCCUGGGUCCUAUUGUCAUUUCUCUGGAUUUGCAAAGAUCCACCUCACCUUCUGUGGAACCCCCAUGUCGGUGAACUUUUGGGCCACGGCCCCUAAUUCUGCCCAUAGUCAUCUGGAACUGCACGAGUUAGGGUCCAUGUUCCUUGGACGGGAAGAGACAGGCAGGAGUCGGAAUGAUGAACCAGCACACUGGGGCAUUUUCUCAUGUAGCCCAAGUGACCCCAUGGUCUUCUCGAGCUUUGGAACCAGUCGCGUCCCCCUUGACACUGCACCCGACUCCCAGUUUCUCAAUCUUGUUGGCCCUCCGGCGAUCUCCCUUUGGAUGAAUUGCACCUGCUGAAACUCGAGUCCCCUUUGAUUUGCGCUUCAUUAAUUAUUCAUGAUUCAGUUUGGAAGGCCUGCUUACGACUCCCUGUGGCCGUUCUCUGAGCUUUCCGGUCACAUCGUUUCCUUCCACGCUCUUUGGUUCAUUGUGGUCCUGCUGCUUCUGCUGUCAGAGGAGCAGAGAGUAGAUCUUAUUGAUUCUGGAUACGGAUACUUUCUAGGUGAUCUGGAUAAUCAAGAUAACGACCCUCAACAGCGGCGGAAAGGGAGCAGCCAUUCAGUGUGUCUCAGAAAAUACCGCUCAGUUCCGAGGCCUCCUAGAUGUGGAAUCCUGCUCAGAGUUGUUCCCAGGUCAGAGAAUAGAGAGAGUCUGUGCAUGAUGAGAUAUCCCUGCCUAGAUCUUUCAGUGAGUCUCUACCUCAGCUACUCUUAGGAUCAGUGGGAGAACCAUGGAAAGGCCCGGUGUCAGACAUCCGGAAAGAAGAUGGGAUGAAUGUUUUACCUCUGAAGUACAUCCCAAAUCUGGGAGUUAACUACAGCUUUGCUGGGGACUAUUUGGUCAGUGAAACUCUGCCUGGUUCAUUCGCACAUCCGGAAGCCACUUCACGGGGGGCCGUCGCAACCGGAACCACACACUUGGCAUAGGCGGUUGAGCCAAAUGGGGACUCGCGGUGCAAGCAACGCUCCCCACGUGUUAGCGUGCGUGAGAUUCAGUUGGCGGAAUUUUACUAGGUGCGUGUUGGUAGAGUGGGGCUGAGGUUCUCUUUCUCCUGUGGAUGUAUACGAAGUCAAAGGUCCUGCCCAGCCGUGCGGUCCCCUCAGUCAACUCUGUUUCGGAGACAUAACGAUUUGGAUUGCUAACAAGUCAAGAAAUGUUCAAGCCCUUGGAUGUAGGGAAAAGAAAGAGAGAUCAGACUGUCACUGUGUCUAUGUCGAAAGGGAAGACAUAAGAGACUCCAUUUUGGAAAAGACCUGUACUUUAAACAAUUGCUUUGCUGAGAUGUUGUUCAUUUGUAGCUUUGCCCCAGGCACUUUGCCCCAGCCGCUUUGACCCAACUUGGAGCUCACAAAAACCUGUGUUGUAUAAAAUCAAGGCUUAAGGGAUCUAGGGCUGUGCAGGACGUGCCUUGUUAACCAAAUGUUUACAAGCCGUAUACUUGGUAAAAGUCGUGGCCAUUCUCUAGUCUCAAUAAACCAGGGGCACAAUGCACCGUGGAAAGCUGCAGGGACGUCUGCCCUUGAAAGUAGGGCAUUGUCCAAGGUUUCUCCCGAUGCGAUACUCUGAAAUAUGGCCUUGUGGGAUAAAAAAGACCUGACUGUCCCCUAGCCUGACACCGGUAAAGCGUCUGUGCUGAGGUGGAUUAGUCAAAGAGGAAAGCCUCUUGUAGUUGAGAUGGAGGAAGGCCACUGUCUCCUGCUCGCCCCUGGGAGCUGAAUGUCUCGGUGUAAAAUCCGAUCGUACAUUUGUUCAACUCUGAGCUAGGAGAAAAGCUGCCCUGUGGCGCGAGGCGAGACAUGUUGGCAGUAAUGCUGCCCUGUUAUUCUUUACUCCGCUGAGAUGUUUGGGUGGAGAGAAACAUAAAUCUGGCCUACGUGCACGUCCAGGCAUAGUACCUUCCCUUGAACUUAAUUAUGAUAUAGAUUGCUUUGCUCACAUGUUUUUUUGGUUGACCUUCUCUUUAUUAUCACCCUGCUCUCCUACUACAUUCCUUUUUGCUGAAAUAAUGAAAAUCAUAAUCAAUUAAAAAUGAGGGAACUCAGAGGCCGGUGCCGGUGCAGGUCCUUGGUGUGCUGAGUGCCGGUCCCCUGGACCCACUUUUGUCUCCCUAUACUUUGCCUCUGUGUCUUAUUUCUUUUCUCCGUCUCUCAUCCCACCCGACUAGAAACACCCACAGGUGUGGAGGGGCAGGCGAUCCCUACACUUGGAAAAUC